rnacentral:tRNA from 1 species
GUAGGUAUAGCUCAGUGAUAGAGCACAUGCUUAGCAUGCACGAGGUCCUGGGUUCAAUCCCCAGUACCUCCA